UGGGGAAUAUUGCACAAUGGGCGCAAGCCUGAUGCAGCCAUGCCGCGUGUAUGAAGAAGGCCUUCGGGUUGUAAAGUACUUUCAGCGGGGAGGAAGGGAGUAAAGUUAAUACCUUUGCUCAUUGACGUUACCCGCAGAAGAAGCACCGGCUAACUCCGUGCCAGCAGCCGCGGUAAUACGGAGGGUGCAAGCGUUAAUCGGAAUUACUGGGCGUAAAGCGCACGCAGGCGGUUUGUUAAGUCAGAUGUGAAAUCCCCGGGCUCAACCUGGGAACUGCAUCUGAUACUGGCAAGCUUGAGUCUC
rnacentral:rRNA from 1 species